AUUCUGUGAUGAGGGCACUUCCGUAAUAAUUCUUUGUACCUUUCCCAUGCCUCAUACAAUGACUCAUCAUCCAUUUGUUGGAAAGCAAUAAUCCCGUUCCUCAACUU
rfam:Gossypium raimondii Chr04_contig_302, whole genome shotgun sequence.